rnacentral:rRNA from 1 species
AGAGUUUGAUCCUGGCUCAGGAUGAACGCCGGCGGUGUGCCUAAUACAUGCAAGUCGUACGCACUGGCCCAACUGAUUGAUGGUGCUUGCACCUGAUUGACGUUGGAUCACCAGUGAGUGGCGGACGGGUGAGUAACACGUAGGUAACCUGCCCCGGAGCGGGGGAUAACAUUUGGAAACAGAUGCUAAUACCGCAUAACAACAAAAGCCACAUGGCUUUUGUUUGAAAGAUGGCUUUGGCUAUCACUCUGGGAUGGACCUGCGGUGCAUUAGCUAGUUGGUAAGGUAACGGCUUACCAAGGCGAUGAUGCAUAGCCGAGUUGAGAGACUGAUCGGCCACAAUGGAACUGAGACACGGUCCAUACUCCUACGGGAGGCAGCAGUAGGGAAUCUUCCACAAUGGGCGCAAGCCUGAUGGAGCAACACCGCGUGAGUGAAGAAGGGUUUCGGCUCGUAAAGCUCUGUUGUUGGAGAAGAACGUGCGUGAGAGUAACUGUUCACGCAGUGACGGUAUCCAACCAGAAAGUCACGGCUAACUACGUGCCAGCAGCCGCGGUAAUACGUAGGUGGCAAGCGUUAUCCGGAUUCAUUGGGCGUAAAGCGAGCGCAGGCGGUUGCUUAGGUCUGAUGUGAAAGCCUUCGGCUUAACCGAAGAAGUGCAUCGGAAACCGGGCGACUUGAGUGCAGAAGAGGACAGUGGAACUCCAUGUGUAGCGGUGGAAUGCGUAGAUAUAUGGAAGAACACCAGUGGCGAAGGCGGCUGUCUGGUCUGCAACUGACGCUGAGGCUCGAAAGCAUGGGUAGCGAACAGGAUUAGAUACCCUGGUAGUCCAUGCCGUAAACGAUGAGUGCUAGGUGUUGGAGGGUUUCCGCCCUUCAGUGCCGGAGCUAACGCAUUAAGCACUCCGCCUGGGGAGUACGACCGCAAGGUUGAAACUCAAAGGAAUUGACGGGGGCCCGCACAAGCGGUGGAGCAUGUGGUUUAAUUCGAAGCUACGCGAAGAACCUUACCAGGUCUUGACAUCUUGCGCUAACCUUAGAGAUAAGGCGUUCCCUUCGGGGACGCAAUGACAGGUGGUGCAUGGUCGUCGUCAGCUCGUGUCGUGAGAUGUUGGGUUAAGUCCCGCAACGAGCGCAACCCUUGUUACUAGUUGCCAGCAUUAAGUUGGGCACUCUAGUGAGACUGCCGGUGACAAACCGGAGGAAGGUGGGGACGACGUCAGAUCAUCAUGCCCCUUAUGACCUGGGCUACACACGUGCUACAAUGGACGGUACAACGAGUCGCAAGCUCGCGAGAGUAAGCUAAUCUCUUAAAGCCGUUCUCAGUUCGGACUGUAGGCUGCAACUCGCCUACACGAAGUCGGAAUCGCUAGUAAUCGCAGAUCAGAAUGCUGCGGUGAAUACGUUCCCGGGUCUUGCACUCACCGCCCGUCA